CUGGAUAGGAGGGCCUUGAUCCCAC
rnacentral:tRNA from 1 species